rnacentral:rRNA from 1 species
AUUGAACGCUGGCGGCAUGCUUUACACAUGCAAGUCGAACGGUAACAGGGAGCUUGCUCCGCUGACGAGUGGCGAACGGGUGAGUAAUAUAUCGGAACGUGCCCAAGAGUGGGGGAUAACGUAGCGAAAGUUACGCUAAUACCGCAUACGAUCCAAGGAUGAAAGCAGGGGACCUUCGGGCCUUGUGCUCCUGGAGCGGGGGAUAUCAGAUUAGCUAGUUGGUGAGGUAAAGGCUCACCAAGGCGACGAUCAGUAGCUGGUCUGAGAGGACGACCAGCCACACUGGAACUGAGACACGGUCCAGACUCCUACGGGAGGCAGCAGUGGGGAAUUUUGGACAAUGGGGGCAACCCUGAUCCAGCAAUGCCGCGUGAGUGAAGAAGGCCUUCGGGUUGUAAAGCUCUUUUGUCAGGGAAGAAAAGGGUACGGCUAAUAUCCGUGCCUCAUGACGGUACCUGAAGAAUAAGCACCGGCUAACUACGUGCCAGCCGCCGCAGUAA